rnacentral:piRNA from 1 species
UGAGUUGGAUGUAGAAACCCAGGCUA